rnacentral:rRNA from 1 species
CAGCAGUGAGGAUAUUGCGCAAUGGGCGAAAGCCUGACGCAGCAACGCCGCGUGGAUGAAGAAGUUCUUCGGAAUGUAAAAUCCUUUUGCAGAGGAAGAAACUGCCGGUUUACCGGCACUGACGGUACUCUGCGAAUAAGCCACGGCUAACUCUGUGCCAGCAGCCGCGGUA